rnacentral:misc_RNA from 1 species
GAUGAAGAACGUAGCGAAAUGCGAUAAGUAAUGUGAAUUGCAGAAUUCAGUGAAUCAUCGAAUCUUUGAACGCACAUUGCGCCCGCCAGUAUUCUGGCGGGCAUGCCUGUUCGAGCGUCAUUUCAACCAUCAAGCCCCCGGCUUGUGUUGGGGACCUGCGGCUGCCGCAGGCCCUGAAAACCAGUGGCGGGCUCGCUGUCACACCGAGCGUAGUAGAUUUUCAUCUCGCUCAGGGCGUGCUGCGGGUUCCGGCCGUAAAAAGCCUUAUUUACCCAAGGUUGACCUCGGAUCAGGUAGGAAGACCCGCUGAACUUAAGCAUAUUCAAUAAGCGGAGGA